AUAAAAUGGUUGACUCAUUUCCGUUUCUAAUGACACUUGAUCUCCAACACUGUGUCGCAUUUUCAUCGUACUGAUUGUUUGUCAUGAUAAUAUUUGUUGAGAAACUAUUAUCUUGCGGCAGCCAAAACCAGCACCCUUGCUUUUCCGCUCCUUUUCCUUCUGCUUCUUCUUCUUAUUCUGCUUCUUCGUAUUGAGGGGCCUCCGAUUUUAUGGCCAU
ensembl:ncRNA C25F6.22 ncRNA